rnacentral:rRNA from 1 species
AACGCGAAGAACCUUACCUGGGCUCGAAAUGGAGUGGACCGGAGUGGAAACAUUCCUUCCCCGCAAGGGGCUGCUCUAUAGGUGCUGCAUGGCUGUCGUCAGCUCGUGUCGUGAGAUGUUGGGUUAAGUCCCGCAACGAGCGCAACCCUUAUUACCAGUUGCCAUCAUUAAGUUGGGCACUCAGGUGAGACCGCCUCGGAUAACGGGGAGGAAGGCGGGGAUGACGUCAAGUCCUCAUGGCCUUUAUGUCCAGGGCUACACACGUGCUACAAUGGCCGGUACAAACCGUCGCAAACCCGUGAGGGGGAGCUAAUCGGAAAAAGCCGGCCUCAGUUCGGAUUGUAGUCUGCAACUCGACUACAUGAAGCUGGAAUCGCUAGUAAUCGCGGAUCAGAACGCCGCGGUGAAUACGUUCCCGGGCCUUGUACACACCGUAGUAC